rnacentral:ncRNA from 1 species
UUGUAGCAUGAAAGGAGAGACGUUUAACGCUUCCCUAGACAAGGAUGAAACACAUAUAUAAAUGGAUUCUACCAAAUGUCCAAAUUGGACAAAUUGAGAAUGAAAAGAAUUAAAUAAAAAAAUAAAAAAAAUAAAAAAAAAAACAGUUAUAAAUGGUAAGGCACUGUCGCCUUUCGCCGGCACUUACCAGAUUUUUUUU